GGAUGGGUGUCCGAGCGGUCUAAGGAGACGGUCUUGAAAACCGUUGUAGGGAAACCUACCGCGAGUUCGAAUCUCGCCCCAUCCGCGA
rnacentral:tRNA from 2 species